rnacentral:rRNA from 1 species
CCUACGGGCGGCAGCAGUGAGGAAUAUUGGUCAAUGGGCGCGAGCCUGAACCAGCCAAGUCGCGUGAGGGAUGACGGCCCUACGGGUUGUAAACCUCUUUUGCCGGGGAGCAACGGGCGCCUCGUGUGGCGCCACUGAGAGUACCCGGAGAACAAGCAUCGGCUAACUCCGUGCCAGCAGGCGCGGUAAUACGGAGGAUGCGCGCGUUAUCCGGAUUUAUUGGUGUUAAAGGGUGCGUAGGCGGAUCGUUAAGUCAGUGGUCAAAUUGAGGGGCUCAACCCCUUCCCGCCAUUGAAACUGGCGCUAUUGAGUGGAAGAGAAGUAGGCGGAAUGCGUGGUGUAGCGGUGAAAUGCAUAGAUAUCACGCAGAACCCCGAUUGCGAAGGCAGCAUGCCGGCUUCCGACUGACGCUGAAGCACGAAAGCAUGGGGAUCGAACAGGAUUAGAUACCCGUGUAGUC